rnacentral:lncRNA from 1 species
UCGUCCAAAGCUAUAAUUCUUGUAGCAAAAAUUACAAAAAGGUCCCUCUAAAUUUUAAAAGUAAGUAACCUCACUCUCUGUUCACUUCUCUCUUUCCUCUCCACAAUCCUCACCUUCUCUCAUCCGUAUGAAUGCCAUUCAACCUCCUAUUCACCCUAUUCCCAUGCUAAACGUCUUUUUGUCGCUAGAUGAUCCUAGUGCCACUAAAGUUGCUACUAAUCCGUUGGCAAACGGUAUAGAAACUAAUGGAUCAAUUCAAUGCCUUUUAGAUGACUCGGCCAAAUUCCAACAUAUAUGAUGUUAGAAAACUUUUAGACUGCAACUAUUCGCCUUUUUCAGCUGCCUUUAGCCUAAUCGCAGCAUUCGCUUAAGCAACCAAUGUUGUUAAGCCACCAGAUCAAAACUAUAUAUUUCAGUCCACCACCCCUUUUCCAGUUGUUUACCCAUCAAGUAUGAUCUCCUUUCUAACCACAAAAAAAAAGUAUAUUUGGACUCUAUGCUUUAAGAUCUUUGAUUUGGCAACUUAUGUAUGAUUUUUCAUCAUUAGAGAUUUUAAGUGAUUCAUGAACUUCGAGGAGAGUUUUCGGGAUGGUGAGAUUUUAAGUGAUUCAUGAACUUCGAGGGGAGUUUUCAGGCUUUCUGGGCAGUUUCUUAAUAAUAAUUUUUUUUAUAUUCUAACUCUUGAUGUCAUUGAAUUCGUGUAGGUAUCUUCAGUUUGUUAAAAUUUUAUUGCAAUUUUGGACGCUUUCUCAAAUCAAACCCGAGUUGGUUUAAAGUGAACGAGUAGAAGAAUCAAUAUUACAAUUGAUUCUUACAUUAUCAAAUAUGCCAAUGCAUUUAGAUUGUUUAAUUUAUAGUAUAUCAUGUAAUCCUGAAAUCAACUUUGUGCUAUUGGCCUAUGAUUUAAAAAAAAUUGGCUCUAUAAAAAAUUAAAUGAAAAUUUAGAGUAAUAUAAUGAUGUCAUAAUGGACUCUCUAAAUAUAUAUUGUAGAGUUUUUUUUAGAGUGGUAAGAAUAAAUUUUGGGCUAUCUCUAUAUUAAAUUACUAUAAAUAAAAUGUGUGGCCAAAGAAUAAAUUAAAACUUUAUAACCGUAGAUGAGCAAUCAUAAUUACGUGGUGGGUUAAGGCCAUUAUUGAGCUUGAGAUUACAUUUUCUUAUGCUCUAAGUAUUGGAAAAACUUUAUUGAAUUUUCUGCAGGAUUGUAAGAUUUAAUUUUGCUUCCAUGAAGUCUUUAUUUGUAUUAUUGAUUUUAGGUGAUACCACUAGUCCUUCUAUGUUUGGCCAGCCGAAUUAAGGUUGUAUCUAGUUUGUGAGUUGGAUAUCGCAUAUUUUUAUAAUUUCAAUACUGUUUCUAUAUUUUUAGCAUGCAUAUGUAUUAUCAUUGUAUAUGUAUUUAAUUAGUUAUAUAUGUUAGAGACAUUUAUUUGUUACAUGUCUGUUUUAUGCUAAUUGUUUAUAUAUGUUGCCUUCGGGAUAAUUUGGAGAUGGGAAUAUAUGUUAUAUGUGGUGGAUAUAAAUUGAACAGGUCAUACGAUUUGAGUUAAAUAAACUAGGACUCAAUCCUUUAGAUUAGUCAGAGUUGACCUUACUAAUAGGAUUUGGAUUAAGAGAAAUAGGAAGAUGUUAUGGCAAUGUUUUCAAAGAUUAUGUAGCUUUAAUUAGGGACAUAUGUGCAGAUAUUAUCGACGUAGUUAAUGUUCCAGUGGGUAAAUGAGUUUUCGGAUUUUUUUUCUUGAAUAGAUAUUAAAGUUCCCUCUAGACUAAGAGAUAGAAUUCUAUAUUGACAUGGUGCUUGUUAUGGCUCUUAUUUCGAUGCUUACUUAUAGGAUUGCCCCAACAUAAUUGAAGAGGCAUAAGGAGUAACUACAAUAACUAUUAGAGAAAGGGUUUAUCCAAUUGAGUUUAUCAUCAUAGGGUACACCAGUAUUGAUUGUGAGUAAGAAAAUAGGUCCAUAAGAUUGUGUAUUGAUCAUUAGAUGUUGAAUAAGGUGACAAUGAAGAAAAAAUAUAUGCUUUCUUGAAAUUGACCUAUUUGAUCAGUUGCAAGGAGUUAAGUACUUCUUUAGAAUAGAUAUGUAGUCAGGAUAUCAUCAGUUGAGGAUUCGAAGAGAGGAUGCUCCAAAGACACAUUUCAAGACACAAUAUGGACAUUAUGAGUUACUUGUGAUGUCAUUUGAACUUAUUAAUACAUCAAAAACUUUUAUGGAUUUAAUGAAUCUGGUGUUAUGAUCAUUCCUGACUCAAUUAGUGAUAAUAUUCAUUGAUAAUAUUUUGGUAUAUUCUCAAACUGUAGAGGAGCAAACUCUGCUUUAAGGAUGAUGCUACAAAUUGUAAGGGAAUGUCAAUUAUAUGCUAAGUUCUCUAAAUGUGAGUUCUAGCCGAAUAGUGUAGCAGGCCAUGUAGUUUCUAGAGAAGAAAUUUAGGUGGACGCUAAGAAAGUAGCGACAGUAACUAGUUAGCUAAGACUUAUUAUAGUAACAAAUGUUUAGAGCUUUUCAGAAUUAUCAGGCUACUAUAAGGAGUUUCUGCAUAAUUUUUCAAGAAUUACAACCUUUUAACUAAGUUAACUUAGAAAACCAUGCCUUUAUGUAGUCAAAUGCUUGUGAAGAGAGUUUUUUUAAAAAAAAAAAAAAUCAAUCAUUGUUUAACUUUAGUUCCCAAAUUAACACUACCUAAGAAUGCAAAAGGAAAUAUCAUUUAUUUUGAUGCCUUUAAAGUUGGUUUAGAUGUGUGGUUAUGUAGAAUGGUGAAAUGGUUGCUUAUGCAUAACACUAAUUAAAGAGAUAUGAAGAGAACUACCCUAUUUAUGACUUAAAAAUGGCAACAGUAGUCUUUCAUUGAGGAGGCAUUACUUAUAUGAGAAAACAUGUGAAAUAUACACUAAUUGUAAGAGUCUAAAGCAAAGGGACAUAAACCUAUUAAGACAAAGACCAUAAAGGGGACUCUUGAAUGAUUAUCAUUGCACCAUAUAGUAUGAUUCUAGAAAAGCUAAUAUGGUAACUAAUGCUCUAAGCAAAAAAUUAGCUUGAAGUCUAGCACAUGUGUAAUAUAAAUGAGACAUUUGAUUUGGAAGUUACAUGUGUUGUUUGUUCAAGGAUUGGAAUUAGAUAUUUUACCUUUUGGUGCACAACUAGCUCACUUAAGGACAUGACCAAACCUUAGAGAUAAAAUUAAAUUUUCUCAACAUAAAGAUUCACAGUUGGUGAGUAUAGUGGAAAAGUUGCAGUAUGGUGAAGACUGAGUUUAGAUUCAGCAACAAGGUUGCUUUGAUGCAAGGUUCCCAUAUUUAUGUGCCUAAUGUUGCUUGAAGAAUGAAAUUAUGCAGCAAGUACAUUAUAUAGCUUAUAUUGUUCAUCCAUAAUCCAUAAAGAAGUAUCAUGAUGUGAAGGAGAGAAUUGGUAGAAUGGUAUGAAGAGAGACACUGUAAAAUUUGAAUUGAAGUGUUUGACUUGCUAGAAAGUUAAGUUUGAGUAUUAGAGACCAUUAAAGAAGCUUCAGGAUAUUUCAAUUUAAGAGUCAAAGUGAAAAAUGAUCAUCAUGGAUUUUAUGAUUGCUCUACCCCCAUAAUUAAGGAUAAAAUUUUUUUUUGUGAAUAAACUUACUAAAGCAGCUCAUUUUUUUCCUGUAUGGACUACAUUAUCAAUUGCAUAAUAUGCUAGAUUAUAUAUCAGGGAAAUAUUCAGAUUAUAUAAGAUUCUACAUCUGAUAGAGGGCCCCAAUUCACUUCUAGAUUCUAGUGAAGAAACUCUAAGAAGCACUUAACACACAACUAAAUUUUAGUAUCACUUUCCAUCUGCAGACAAUGACUAUUGGAAAGAACUUAGAGGGUAUGCUUCAUUUGUGUAUAAUGGACUUUGGCAGUCAGUGAGAUUACCAAAAAAUAUUAGUAGAGUUUGUUGAUGCUAAGUAUAGGUAUGGAAUCUUAUGAAGCACUUUAUGGUAGGAAGUGCAAAUCUCCUUUAUAUUAAGCUAAAGUUGGUGAAGCUAAACUCAAUGACAUUAACCUGGUUCUGUACAUAGUAGAUAAAGUACCAUUAAUUUAGGAACACUUGAAACUAGCUUUUAGAAUGCAAAAGAGUUGUGCAGAUUCCAAAAGGAGAGAUGUUUUGUACUAAUUGAGAUUUCUCCUAUAAAGGGAGUUUUGAGGUUUGGGAUAAAGGUAAGUUGGAAUAUCGAUAUGUUUGAUAGAUAAAAAUAGAUGGAGAAUAGAUGAAAGAAGAAGAGAAUUGCAGAAUUUACUAGAAAGUCUCUUAACUUUCAUUGAUAGAAAUGAUAUUUAUAUACAUAAGAAACUUCAUGAAGAAGUAUAACAUUAAUGAUAAACACCGAGAAUGAAGAACAUACUUAGAAAAUAAGAAUAACUUUUAGAUGUCUAAUGAACAUUAAAUACUCAAACCUUCUAGAAUAAGUAAUGGAGAAAAAUCUUAAUUUUAACACUCUUUAAAAUUUUUCAUGACACUCAUUUGCAACUUUAGCGCUUUAAAUUUCCCUUUAGGAAGACUUGUCGUCAAAAUAUCAACAAUUUGAUCUUUAGACUUGUAAUGCUUAAGCUUCACCUCUCCAUUAGCUUUCGCUUCCCUUAGAGCAUGAUAUUUGAAUUUGAUGUGUUUUUUUCUACCAUGAAGCACUGGAUUUUUUGAAACAGCCCAGCCCAAACUGGACCAAAUAACUUUUGAACCCACUUUUCUACUUUGUCCAAAAUGGUUAACCCAAGUUAUUUAGUAGUUUCGUGCUAGUUAUUAUAUACAAUUCGAAAUUGUCGUAAUCCGCCGAUGUGGGAAUCGUCCCCAAGCUAGCAGGUGAGCGUCACACUCUCCCUUACUAAGUUUGCGACGUCCUUGUCGCAACUGAAUCGGAUACAAUUGCUAACUAGGACCGGACCCUUAGGUAUUGUGGUUCGCUAGUACUUCGGACGGCUCUACCUCGUCUUACAUGGGUAGCCCUUUCCUUGUAAGUCCACUAGCUCCGCACAAUUUGUCUGACUCAGGGUGGCUCUGAUACCAAUUGGAACAGCUCAGCCCAAACUGGCCCAAAUAACUUUUGGACCCACUUUUCCACUUUGCCCAAACUGAUUAACCCAAGUUAUUUAGUAGUUUGGUGCUAGAUUGGUAGUUUCAACUUCUAGUUUUUUUCUAAUUUCAAAAAUAAUUUUCAUCCAUAACCACAUCUCGACUGAUAAUAACCUUCUCCUUCUCAAUAUUAUAGAUUUAAUAGCCUUUGGAUUGGGUAGAGUAUCCCAAAAAGAUGUCAAUUUCAGACUUGGGUUCUAACUUACUUCUUUAGAUAGAUGGAAUAUGAAUAUAGCAACACGAGUCAAAGAUUUUCAUGUGAGAAACUGAAGGCUUGACACUAUUCCAAGCUUCAAUUAGAGUUGCUCCUUUAAGAGCAGUAGUUGAUAGUCGAUUUUGCAAAUAAACCGAUGUAUAUGCAGCUUCAGCGCAAAAUGAAUUAUGUAGCUUCUUUUCAGCUAGCAUGUAUAUCACCAUCUCCACAACACUUUUAUUCUUCCUAAAAAUAAUUAUUUGUGAUCUGGACCCGGCUUUUACUAGCCAAUUCUGGAGAGAACUAUUUGAUUUAAAUUUUGGCAGAUUUCACCCUAGCAUUCCCUUCAAAUUCUUCUUUUAACUUAUUACACAUCUCCUUUGGAGAUUCACAAGUCAUGAUUCUUGUGAAAAUCACAUCGGACAAAACCGAAUGGAGAGAAGCAAGAGCUUUUGGCUUCUUUGCCUUAUUCUCUCCAAAUUCCUUCAGUUGAGCAGUGGUGGGAUUAUUGCCAAGAGGGGCUAAAUCAUCACCUACUUUAAUAACUUCUCAUAAGUUUAAAAAUUGAAGAUAGAUCUUCACCUUGAUUGAUCAUAUGUGAUAGGAGGACCUGAAUUAAGGAUGUUGCUUGAAGACAUCUUAUACUUUUUGUUAAAUUUGGGGCAGAUCUAACUCACUCCAAAAGCUAGCGUAAGGGGGAGGAUUGUCGAUGACCUAUAUAAGGGGCACAUUACCCCUUUCCACAACUGAUGUGAGAUUUAACACAUCCCACAUGGCCAUAAUUUUUACUGGUACAUGACAUAUUUAUGGAAGGCCCAACAUCAGAAGGGGAGGCUCUGAUAUCAUCUAGAAUUAUAGGAAGAAAAUAGCGAGUUUCGGUCUAAAAGUUUAGCCUAUUUUUCCUACAAUCAUCAUUUGUAGAAUACCUUUCCACAACUGAUAUGAGAUUCAACAUACCCCCUCACACCCAGAAUUUUUACUGGUGCGUGACACAUUUAUGAGAGACCCAACAUCAGAUGGGAGGCUCUGAUACCAUCUAGAAUUAUAGGAUGAAAUUGAAAAAUAUUUUUCUUCCUAUAAUUCUAGAUCCUUUAAUAUUUGAUUGAAUAACCUUCACAGAUCCCUUAAGAAUUGAACUCUGAUAUCAAUUGAUAGAGUUUUAUGGAUAAAAAUAGAUGGAGAAUAGAUAAAAGAUGAAGAGAAUUGCCAGAAUUUGCUAGAAAGUCUCUUAAGCUUUCAUUGAUAGAAAUAAUAUUUAUAUACAUAAGGAAUUUCAUGAAGAAGUAUAAACACAGAAAACGAAAAACAUACUUAGGAAAUGAAAAUAACUUUUAGAUAUCCAAAAAAUAUCAAAUACUCAAUCCUUCUAGAAGAAAUAAUGGAGAAAAGUCUUAAUUUUAAGAAAUCACAAACAAAGUUGGGACAAUUGCUUAUCAUUUAGAGUUGCCAUUAGAGCUUUAUCAUAUUUAUUAUGCAUUCCAUAUUUCUAUGCUGAGGAAGCACAUAAUUAACUCAUCUCAUAUGCUUCAACCCAACUCGAUGGAGACUAGUGAGGAUCUAUUAUAUAAGGAGAAGUUAAUAGCUAUUAUACAUAAUCAAAUACAUUAGCUACAAUCCAAGCAAAUAUGGUUAAUUUUUUGUGGAGAAAUUAAUAUGUAAAGGAAUAUACUUGGGACUAGAGCAGGAUAAGCAAAACAAGUAUUCCUGCCUAUACUGUAGUUGAUCAGCUCCUUUAGUUGAGCUUUGUAUCAUCCUCUUUUGUUUUUUUAAUUUGAGUACAAAUUUUCCUAAAGGGAAAUCUCAUACUCUUUUAUUUAAUUAAAUAUAUCACUUGAUUAUCUGUAUUACUAGUUACAUUACCUGAUUAAAGAUGUGGUAGAGAAACUUUGAAAGAUAUUUUUAGUGUGUUUUGUAGAGUUCUUAAUCACAAGUUGAUUUUGAAUUUCGUAUCAUUAUCUAAAUAGUUACAAGAGAUAUAACUAUGUUAAUAAUUCUUAUUUUGAAAUUUAAUAUUAUUGUAUUUUAAUAUAUUUUUUUAGACUUUCUUAAUAAACACUAAAAUUAGUUUAAAUAAUAAAUUUUAUCAUCACAUUAAAAAUAUAAUUGUUUUAAAAAUUAUAAUCUUAUUUUAUUUUUAUAAAUCUUUUGAGAUUUUGUUAAGUAAUUAUAAAAAUAAUUUGAAUAAUCAAAUUAUCAUUUAUUUUGAAAAUUAAAUUUAAAUAAUAACAUUAUCAAUUAUUUUACAAAUAAAUAUUUUUAUAAAUAAUUUAAAGGUUUAAACGUAUUUUUAAAAAUUUUUAAUAUUUUUCUCCUUCACUUUUAUAUAUAGUAGAGGUACAUAGUAAAUGGAUUAUUUAUAAUUAUACAUUUGCGCCUAUUUGUAGAUAUGGUUUCAGUAAGGCUUAUUGUGAACAUAGAGUAUGAUGUCAUGAGUUGAAGUUCAAGAUUUCUGCAAUUGAAAAAUCUUGUGACUUUAAAACUAUGAGUGUUUCUAAGCUUUUGAACAAGCUGUAAGUUCAAGAGUAAAAGGCUAUUACGAGGGAAAGAGAUGUCUCUGAAGGUGUUUUCAAGUAAUGCACAAAUGGAAGCAAGGUAAGAAAGAAGGAAAACAAUGACAAAGAUGAUAAAGGUAAAGGCAUAGCAACAAAUUCAAUUCAGAUAAAAAGGAAAAGUUUCCUCCAUAUAAGUUCUGCACUAGAACCAAUCAUCUUAAGAAGGAUUGUUGGUUCAAAGGUAAAGUUCCAAUUCAAUGCCAUUUUUACAAGAAACUUGGCCAUAUUGAGAGAAAUUGUAAGCAGAAACAAAGCCAAGUUCAAGCAAAAGAUGUGCAAUAAGGUAAUUAUACCGAAGAGGAUGAAGAAGAGGAAAGAGUGGGAAGGAUGCUUAUGGUUGCUCAAAAUCUUAUAAUGGAAAGCAAGCAUGUAUGGUUUAUUGAUAGUGGUUGUAUAAGUCAUAUAGCAAAGGAUGAAAGUAUUUUCACUAAACUUGACAAGACAUGCAAGACAAAGGUGAAGUUGGGUAAUGGAGCUAUUGUCAAAGCUAAAAAAAAAAGGUAUUAUUGCUAUUCAAACUAAGCAAGGUACAAAACUCAUUCAUAAUGUGCUCUAUUUAAUCCAAGCUUAGCACAAAACUUACUUAGUGCAAAUAUUUUUGAACGGUUAUGUUUUAUAUUUUAAAGAUAUUGCUUGUUGUAUCUAUGAUGAAAAAAAUGAAUUGAUUGCUAGAUUGCCUAUGGUUGAUAGAUCUUUUCUGUUAGGUUGGAGUGAUGUAAAGGAGUCAUUAAGCUUUGCUAAGGUUGAAGAAUCUGAAUUAUGACAUAAGAGGUUUGGAGAUUGCAAUUAUGGUUCUCUUUCUUUGAUGUGUAAAGAAGGCCUAGAAAGGGAAUUUCCUAGUAUAAAACAACAUGAUGGUAUGUGCUCUUAUUGUCAAAUCGGGAAGCAAAAUGUCUUUUUCUAGUGCAUCUUCAUGGAGAGCUAAGGAGAAAUUGAAACUUGUUCACACUGAUGUGUGUGAUCCCAUGAAGGAUGAAUUCUUAAGCAAAAAUAAAUAUUUUAUAUUAUAUAUUGAUGAUCUAACCAAAAUGACUUGGAUCUAUUUUAUAAGUCACAAAUCACAGGUAUUCAAUGUAUUCAAAAGGUUUAAGAAGAUGGUUGAAGUAAAGUUCAGAUGCAAACGUAAAGUUUUGUGGUUAGAUAAUAGAAUGAAGUAUAAUUCAAUAGAGUUCAAGAAAUUUUGUGAUGAUGAAGGAAUUUCUUGUCAACUUUUAGUUGCUUACACUAUUAAGCAAUACGAUGUCGGUAUUUGAAAAUUUGAAAAUAAAUGAAUAGAAAAGUAUAAAGGAUUUCUCCUCUAAUCUUCUUGAUGUUAUUAAUAAAAUAAAAUUGCGUGGACAAAAUUUUUCGGAUAAGAAGAUGAUAAAAAAGAUCUUGAUAAAUCAUCUUUUAAAUUUUUAGUAUAGUGACGGUUUAGCCAAAAAGUUUGAUUAUGAUAAAA